rnacentral:rRNA from 1 species
AGAACGAACGCUGGCGGCAGGCUUAACACAUGCAAGUCGAGCGCCCCGCAAGGGGAGCGGCAGACGGGUGAGUAACGCGUGGGAACAUACCCUCCGGUUCGGAAUAGCUCAGGGAAACUUGGAUUAAUACCGGAUACGGCCUAGCGGCGAAAGAUUCAUCGCCGGAGGAUUGGCCCGCGUUCGAUUAGCUAGUUGGUGAGGUAACGGCUCACCAAGGCGACGAUCGAUAGCUGGUCUGAGAGGAUGAUCAGCCACAUUGGGACUGAGACACGGCCCAAACUCCUACGGGAGGCAGCAGUGGGGAAUAUUGGACAAUGGGCGCAAGCCUGAUCCAGCCAUGCCGCGUGAGUGAUGACGGCCUUAGGGUUGUAAAGCUCUUUCGCUAGGGACGAUAAUGACGGUACCUAGACAAGAAGCCCGGCUAACUUCGCGCCAGUAGCCGC